GGAUGCGAGGGCGAUCUGGCUGCGACAUCUGUCACCCCAUUGAUUGCCAGGGUUGAUUUGGCUCAUCUGGCUGGCUAGGCGGGCAUCCCCUUUCUCCCUCACCGCACCAUGCGCGUCCCUCCCGAAGCUGCGCGCUCGGUCAAAGAGGACGACCAUCCCUGAUAGAGGAGGACCGUUCUUUGGUCAAGGGUAUACGAGUAGCUGCGCUCCCCUGCUAGAAUCUCCAAACAAGUUCUCAAGGAAGAGUUAACUUAAUCUGGUCAGAGGUCAUGAGAAGGAUUCCCUGGCAAAUUAAAAAUAUAUUUAACUCAAGACCUGAAGUAUGAGUUAGCUAAGUU
rnacentral:snRNA from 1 species